rnacentral:lncRNA from 1 species
UCGUAUGGUCAUGCUCAGCACUAGUUGUUCUCUAAUAACUAUCCGUACUCGUCCCCAAUAUCUCUACACUGUAGAUCAGAGACUCAUCUAUCCUGAAGAAAAUAAUCUGUGCGCCAGUCUAUCUAGAUCGAUCACCAUCCUCAUGAUGAUCCUAUGAUCAGGAGCAUUUAGGAAUUAAAUACAAGUCUCUAAUUCUCAACACUUUGAG